AUAACAGUGCCUGAUCUACAACAGGGAACUGCUGCUUUUUCUUUCCUGAUCCUUAGUAAAGGACAAAAUAGACAAUUAUUGUCGUCAUGAUGAUGAUGAUGAUGAUAUUGAUGAUGAUGUACCUGUGCAUGGCCUCCUCCAGCCUAGGUCCGGAGACGGACGAGUGGACGACGUCGUCCAGCUGCAUGAUGAUGUCAGCGCCUGUGGUUUGUGCAGCCAGGGGAGAGAACCAAAGGCACAAACAUUUUUCUGGAGUCAGCAACAUCAUUGAUCCAUCGUGAGGGGAUUUGAACUUGACACCUUCCUCUGUUAUCUCCGCAAGUUCUAACAAUGAGACCAUCUGGAAACCUCCGCUGUCCUGGUAUGACACGGAAAGGAACAUGAUAGAUCAAGUUCUCUCAGCUGAUCGGGAACAAGCCCUUUCAACGUUCCUUGAGUUCCGACAGGCAUGAAAACUGGAGCCUCAACUGUCG